CGGGAUGUAGCCUAGAGGCUAAGGCACUUGCUUUGGGAGCAAGGAAUCGACGGUUCAAAUCCGCCCAUCCCGA
rnacentral:tRNA from 1 species